CAAACCUUUUCGUCGUCCUCGUCGUACUUCUGUUCCGCACCUGGGCCGCUUCCGCCCAAUCGCCUACCUGGGCCGCUUCAGCAUGGGCCAUAAACUCGGAGCCUGAAAAAUCCCAUCGCCUGCGAACUAGGAAGAAAACACCACAUCCCCAAAUCACGGACGAAAAUCGUCCCAAUGUUCUCUGAAUUGAUCUCCUCCUCUUCCGCGCACCUCGCUCUCAAUGCGUCGCCGCCGCAUCUCCUCUCCUUCCCCCAUCUCUGCUUCCUCGCCGCUCGUUGUCCCGGAGGUCGCGGGCUACCCGAGGUAUCCGACGUACGUCUUCAAGAUCCACAGCCACCUUCUUCCGCGAUGGUGGAGCCAUGUGCUCUACCCCGACGCCCUGUGCUUCGCACCGCCGCCGUGGCGACCGCUCAUCUGUAGGCCUUCUAGGACUGAGUUGCGCGGCAACCACCUUGAAUCUGAGGGGGGUGGCCUCCAUUGUCAAGUCUGAUGUGGUUCCAGGAAACGUCGAUGUUGCGGGUAGAAGCGGAGGCAGAAUUGGGCAUGCUCAAAUUAUUCCUGCUUUGGUAAGCUGGGCAGCGAGGGCAUCGUCGAAGCAGCAGACCACUGCCGAGGUGUGGCGGCUCGGGAGUACCGUGGAGGUCUUCACCAUCUUCUAAUGCGUACGUGAAAUGUGGAACCAAGAGGAUAUAAUGUUUGCUCUGUCCUUUUUUUGUAAACUGGCAUUUAAAAGUAUCGUUGCUUAGAGAUUAGAAUAGCAAUGUAAGCUCAAGUCGUGAUGUGAGCCCUGAUGAAACUCGGCUGAGCAUAAUGUAGUAUGUUUGAAGAAGUUCUGAAGUGGCUUAACCUUUCAUUGACACUCAGUGUUAGGAUGCCCAUCUAUAUUCUUCAUCUAAUCUUAAUUUGAGCAAUGCCUCUAUUAAAAUGUUAUUUUGUGUAUAGGCUAGCAAGCGAAAGAUCUUGAGAGCUGGAAAAAUCAUUUGGUUGAGUGAAGAAAAAAUAAUCAUGUAAUCCCUUGGUCUGAAUGGAACAGAGUAUCGCUGUCGUGUGAUCGCUAGGAACAAACCCCUUGGUCUGAAUGUGAACUUUAGGUUGCCACUAGAGUUGUCUGCUUAUACAUUUAUGCUUUGUUUUGCCACUGUAAUGGGUAUUCCUAAAGCUAUUUCAUACUUCUGCGGUUCUGCCUAUGAGCGAUAUCACCAAGCUAAGCAUUGUUGUGAAACUGGUAAUUCCAUUGCUCCCAGUUGAGUUCCACUUGCAGCAUGAAUCAUGUUCUGAUGGAUGAUGCAACAAAGUAGAAUCUCAAGGAGUUGUUAUGGAGAAUCGAGUUGUGAAGCAUAUGAUGACAACAAUGGCUUGAGAACUAUCUUUGAGGAUUCAUUUUGGCACUUGAUCCAUUUUCAGUAUCUUGGAAGUGCAGAGUAGUGUGUCAAUGUGUUAAGUCUGAUUCGGGGCAUGUAUACGGUAUAUCUACACCAUAAGUGUGCUGGUUGUUGCGUAGAAAGGGUUAUAAUUGCCUCUGUGAACUGUA